GAGCUGGGUGUCGAUCGACAGGG
rnacentral:siRNA from 1 species